UGUUUACCUGAUAACAUAAUGAAAUAGCUAUUAAAAUUAAUAUCAUUACCACUUUAAUUUUACAGGCAAGAAGUUAAAAUUCUGAAAAGACUAUCCUGUAAGAACACUAGAAAAGGAGCAGCUCAUUCCCUUAGGGGUAGUCCCUAAUGUUUGUCAACUAGAACAACAGAAUAACAUGAACUGGCAAAGAGUCAGAUGCAGAUAUGUUAUAUGACUGGGUGUCUUACAGCAAAUCUUCUUAAGCACUGGCUUGCAACCAGGAUAGAGUAAGUUCAGAGCCUCACAGUCAAUUCCUGGAUUCGAACCUCAUAAUAGAUUCCUGAAUGCCUGGACACCACAUCACCCUAGCUCCCUGCCCGAAGCACCCUGCACUGGGCAGGGUUUAGGUUUUCUGGAUUCUUUUGUAUAUUUAUAACAAUGUCUUGGAGAUAUAGUUGUGAGGAG
rnacentral:lncRNA from 1 species